AUAAUACUCCUUCUGUCCCAAAAUUCUUGUUUUAAAUUUGUCGAGAUACGGAUUUAUCAAGUCACGUUUUAAUAUUAGUGCAUUCGUAUCUAGACUAAUGUAAGACAAAAUUUUUGAGACGGAGGGAGUAGUAU
rfam:Triticum urartu cultivar G1812 contig998775, whole genome shotgun sequence.